rnacentral:rRNA from 1 species
GCAACGGCCGGGCCAGAGGGGGCGGUAAUACGGAGGGUGCAAACGUUGCUCGGAAUCAGUGGGCGUAAAGCGCACGUAGGCGGCGCGUUAAGUCGGAUGUGAAAGCCCCGGGCUCAACCCGGGAAGGGCAUACGAAACUGGCGCGCUUGAAUAUGGAAGAGGGUCGCGGAAUUCCCGGUGUAGAGGUGAAAUUCGUAGAUAUCGGGAGGAACACCAGUGGCGAAGGCGGCGACCUGGGCCAAUAUUGACGCUGAGGUGCGAAAGCGUGGGGAGCAAACAGGAUUAGAUACCCGGGUCGUC